rnacentral:rRNA from 1 species
CCGUAGGGGAACUGCGGAAGGAUCAUAACGAAUUAUUCUUCUCUGACUAUUGUUCCUGAGCCUAAAAAGGCAAAUUGUUAUACAAUGCCAUUUGACACAUCUUCAACGAUGGAUCUCUUGGCUCCCACCUCGAUGAAGAACGCAGCGAAAUGCGAUACGCAGUGCGAAUUGCAGAACCGCGAGUCAUCAGAUCUUCGAACGCAUCGGCGCCAAGAUAUCUUGGCAUGUUUAAUUCAGCGUGUCUAGUCAUCAAUAAUAUGUGAUUGAGGUAUCUUUCACUGAGAAUGUAGUAUCGUUGAUAAUUCCAAAUGGUCACGAAAGUGAUGGAAUAAUCAAAAACGAUGUUAUAAAAAACACCUGAAUUAAGCAAGAUUACCCGCUGAACUUAAGCAUAUCAGUAAGCGGAGGAAAAGAAACUAACAAGGAUUGUCUCAGUAGCGGCGAGUGAAGAGACAUCAGCCCAAGAUGAGAAUCUGCGGUGAGAAACCGUGGAGUUGUAAUCUCGACAGUCAUUCGCGUUCAGACUCCCUGGCUAACUUGCUUGGAAGAGUAGGCCAUAGAAGGUGAGAGCCCUGUAGGCUAGGGAAGAGGAGUAAGCGAAUGUUUGGAAGAGUCGGGUUGUUUGGGAAUGCAGCCCUAAGUGGGAGAUAGACAUCUUCUAAGGCUAAAUACCGGUGGGAGACCGAUAGCGCACAAGUACUGCGAAGGAAAGAUGAAAAGAACUUUGAAAAGAGAGUUAAAAGAUGUGAAAUCGUUGAAGCGGAACUGAUCGCAGCCCGUCCAUGCCUUAGUCUCGUACAAUGCAACAAGUCCACCUACACUCAAAUGUAGAGACCAAAUGCAAAAGUACUGCUGAGGACAAUCACAGAAUCAACUUUGUAUUAGAGAGAAACAGCCUAACUGAGUUUUGUAGGAUUAUAAUCUAAUAUAGAGUUGAGGAUGAUUCUGUGAAAGCGACUGUGAUCGACCCGUCUUGAAACACA